rnacentral:rRNA from 1 species
GACGAACGCUGGCGGCGUGCUUAACACAUGCCAGUCGAACGGAAAGGCCCUGCUUUUGUGGGGUGCUCGAGUGGCGAACGGGUGAGUAACACGUGAGUAACCUGCCCUUGACUUUGGGAUAACUUCAGGAAACUGGGGCUAAUACCGGAUAGGAGCUCCUGCGGCAUGGUGGGGGUUGGAAAGUUUCGGCGGUUGGGGAUGGACUCGCGGCUUAUUAGCUUGUUGGUGGGGUAGUGGCUUACCAAGGCUUUGACGGGUAGCCGGCCUGAGAGGGUGACCGGCCACCUUGGGACUGAGAUACGGCCCAGACUCCUACGGGAGGCAGCAGUGGGGAAUAUUGCACAAUGGGCGGAAGCCUGAUGCAGCAACGCCGCGUGCGGGAUGACGGCCUUCGGGUGUUAAACCGCUUUCGCCUGUGACGAAGCGUGAGUGACGGUAAUGGGUAAAGAAGCACCGGCUAACUACGUG